rnacentral:rRNA from 1 species
AUUGAACGCUGGCGGCAGGCCUAACCAAUGCCAGUCGAGCGAGCGGCGGACGGGUAAGUAAUGUCUGGGAAACUGCCUGAUGGAGGGGGAUAACUACUGGAAACGGUAGCUAAUACCGCAUAACAUCAGAUGUGCCCAGAUGGGAUUAGCUAGGAGGUGGGGUAACGUUUCACGUAGGCGACGAUCCCUAGCUGGUCGGAGAGGAUGACCAGCCACACUGGAACUGAGACACGGUCCAUACUGCGACGGGAGGCAGCAGGGGGGAAUAUUGCACAAUGGGCGCAAGCCUGAUGCAGCCAUGCCGCGUGUGUGAAGAAGGCCUUCGGGUUGUAAAGCACUUUCAGCGGGGAGGCGUUACCCGCAGAAGAAGCACCGGCUAACUCCGUGCCAGCAGCCGCGGUAAUAC